AGUUGGGGACCACUGUGCCAGACCCUGGGACUGGGGUGUCCAUGGGUACUUGGUGGAGGUGGCAAUUGGGUGGGACAGAGCACAAAUAAGACUCUGUGUCUUGCAGGUGGGACAGUGGCCCAGCAGGUCCCAGUGCAGGCCAUUCAAGUGCACCAGGCCCCACAGCAAGCGUCUCCCUCCCGUGACAGCAGCACAGACCUCACGCAGACCUCCUCCAGCGGGACAGUGACGCUGCCCGCCACCAUCAUGACGUCAUCCGUGCCCACAACUGUGGGUGGCCACAUGAUGUACCCUAGCCCGCAUGCGGUGAUGUAUGCCCCCACCUCGGGCCUGGGUGAUGGCAGCCUCACCGUGCUGAAUGCCUUCUCCCAGGCACCAUCCACCAUGCAGGUGUCACACAGCCAGGUCCAGGAGCCAGGUGGCGUCCC
rnacentral:lncRNA from 1 species